rnacentral:rRNA from 1 species
UUUAAAUUUAGAGUUUGAUCCUGGCUCAGGACGAACGCUGGCGGCGUGCUUAACACAUGCAAGUCGAGCGAUGAAGCUUCCUUCGGGAAGUGGAUUAGCGGCGGACGGGUGAGUAACACGUGGGUAACCUGCCUCAAAGUGGGGGAUAGCCUUCCGAAAGGAAGAUUAAUACCGCAUAACAUAAGAGAAUCGCAUGAUUUUCUUAUCAAAGAUUUAUUGCUUUGAGAUGGACCCGCGGCGCAUUAGCUAGUUGGUAA